rnacentral:rRNA from 1 species
CCUACGGGAGGCAGCAGUGGGGAAUAUUGGGCAAUGGGCGCAAGCCUGACCCAGCAACGCCGCGUGAAGGAAGAAGGCUUUCGGGUUGUAAACUUCUUUUAACAGGGAAGAGCGGAAGGCGGUACCUCUUGAAUAAGCCACGGCUAACUACGUGCCAACAGCCGCGGGAAUACGUAGGGGGGAAGCGUUGUCCGGAUUUUCUGGGGGGAAAGGGCGUGUAGGCGGGCUGACAAGUCUGAUGUGAAAUUCCGGGGCCCAACCCCGGAACUGCAUUUGAAACUGUUGGGCUUGAGUAUCGGAGAGGCAGGCGGAAGUCCUAGUGUAGCGGUGAAAUGCGUAGAUAUUAGGAGGAACACCAGUGGCGAAGGCGGCUUGCUGGACGACAACUGACGGUGAGGCGCGAAAGCGUGGGGAGCAAACAGGAUUAGAUACCCCAGUAGUC